rnacentral:misc_RNA from 1 species
GAUGAAGAACGCAGCGAAAUGCGAUACGUAAUGUGAAUUGCAAAUUCAGUGAAUCAUCGAGUCUUUGAACGCACAUUGCGCCCCCUGGUAUUCCGGGGGGCAUGCCUGUCCGAGCGUCAUUGCUGCCCUCAAGCACGGCUUGUGUGUUGGGCCCCGUCCUCCGAUCCCGGGGGACUGGCCCGAAAGGCAGCGGCGGCACCGCGUCCGGUCCUCGAGCGUAUGGGGCUUUGUCACCCGCUCUGUAGGCCCGGCCGGCGCUUGCCGAUCAACCCAAAUUUUUUAUCCAGGUUGACCUCGGAUCAGGUAGGGAUACCCGCUGAACUUAAGCAUAUCAAUAAGCGGAGGA